rnacentral:piRNA from 1 species
AAACGAAUUUCUCAACGCAGCGAAGG